CAUUUGAGAGACUUUCAUGGAUGGUCCUUUGCGUACCUCUCGACAUACAACACUUGGUGUAUUCUCUAUCUAAGCACUCGGAUAGUCCUCUAUCGUCCAACUAAUAACUGGGUGACCAUCCAACCAGCCGAGCACCUCAUCCUCUAUGCCACCGUUUUGAGUGGGUGCACAUCCACCUUUAAAGAAGAGAUCAUCAAGAGAUUACUGAACGUAACGACCUCGUACUACCUUAGCCAAUUUAACCAAGAGAAUGUAAGAACAGUACAUGAAUGAAGACAACCCACGUAUAAUGACCUUACUACCUGACUGACUGCACGAUCAUCAUGUCUCAAAUUUGCCGAUGACGCGGCCUCAUUGAGCAGAAAAUCUCCUUCUUUAUAAAUAUCCUGUAAAACGAUUAAAAAAUGCUCUCGGCACUCAAC
rnacentral:lncRNA from 1 species